AACGAACGCUGGCGGCAGGCCUAACACAUGCAAGUCGAGCGGGGGAGCAAUCCCUAGCGGCGGACGGGUUAGUAACGCGUGGGAACGUGCCCAAAGGUACGGAAUAGCCUCGGGAAACUGAGAGUAAUACCGUAUGUGCCCCUCGGGGGAAAGAUUUAUCGCCUUUGGAUCGGCCCGCGUUGGAUUAGGUAGUUGGUGGGGUAAUGGCCCACCAAGCCGACGAUCCAUAGCUGGUUUGAGAGGAUGAUCAGCAACACUGGGACUGAGACACGGCCCAGACUCCUACGGGAGGCAGCAGUGGGGAAUCUUAGACAAUGGGGGAAACCCUGAUCUAGCCAUGCCGCGUGAGCGAUGAAGGCCUUAGGGUUUAAAGCUCUUUCAGAUGGGAAGAUAAUGACGGUACCAUCAGAAGAAGCCCCGGCUAACUCCGUG
rnacentral:rRNA from 1 species